AAACAUAAAUAAGUGGUCCUCUAUUUCAUUUCUCAUAAUGUCACAAGAAGAACUCGUUCAAAUGAAAGUAAUGUUUUUUUUUUCACUGCACAUGUAAUUAGUAUGAUUAGGUAACAAGUUCCACAGAUAGUGAUACAAAAGAUUUGGGGUCAAACCCAGUCAGCUUUUAUACUGUUGCAUGAGAUUUUUUUGCCAACAAAUAUAUUACUGGCUUUUCUGAUGGCAAUUUCGUUUCUCCUUCAGCGAAUAGUACUUAUGUUGUAAAUUUAUUUUGAAUAGGGUGAAACAUGAUUUCUUGUGAAGUGAUGUCUUUUGGUCUGUGGAGCAGUUCCUGGAUGUUUACAUAGAGUUGCUACUCCAAGGAAUAAGCAUCACCUGUACACUCCACUGUGCUGUCUGCUCACUGCCACUAACAGUAAGAACGCCACGCUCUGUGUUACCAAGAAGCGUGUAGGGUUUUUCUUGUUUCUUUUUUUCCUUUCUUUUUUCUUUUUUUUUAAAUUUUUCAGAAUGUCCAAAUGGAGUUGUUUUUUACUAUUUCCCUCGAAUUUUGUAGCUCUGAUGAUGAUAUGGAUGAUAUGAAAACAGUCUGAUGCAGAAUUCUUGGCAAGUGGGAUUUCAACCAUUCUUAGUGUUUUGCCACUGUACAUGUGUAAAAUAUGUUUGUAACUAAGCAUAGUUCAUUAAAUCAUAGCUUUAUUACACGUGAAAGCCAUAAAUCACAUCAGCUUGAAGGUUAGAAGAAUGCUAGUCUUAUUUCUCCCCCAGUUUUUAGUAAGAGAUUAAGAAUUGUGAAGACAAAGGUCACUGUGAUGAAGACAAUAGGACUUCCAGAUGAUAUAUUGGUUUAUCUUUUACGUGAUUGCUCUGGAUAUAAAAAGCAGUAGAGAAACACUUUUUCAGGCUUGUCCAUAGGAAACAGAAAGACAGCCUGCCAAAGCCCAGUUUCAUAGCACAAGACAGCAGUAGUGUUAGAGAAGUAAAAAUGGGCUGAUGUGGCUUUCAUUCAGCAACACAACAGUGACAACUUAAAUACUAAGGAAAAUUUUCACUUUACAUACAUGUGUAUGUGUAUAUGUAGUAGAUGCUUUCUCCUGCAUUAUUUUUUAUGAUGAUGUUGAGAUGGUGUAUUUGAAUGCUUAAUGAAAAAACUCCAAACUAUCUUUAACUUCACAUACUGGAAUGAGUUGAUUGUCUGCUCUUCCCCAUAGUGGUGAGAAUUUUUCUCAUUUCUUAAAACUUGAUGUUAAAAAAAUAAAAAAUAAAAAUCACAAGAGAGGAAGAAAUGUGGAGAAAUCUGUAUCUUAUCUUAGUUUGUGAUCUUAAUAUCAUUUUGCUUGUAACAACACUUAGCAGUACGCUGAUGUAUCAGCACAGAGAUUUUGGUUAUUAUACUUAGCAAAAUGAUCCAAGGUUGGACUCUUCCAACUUCAACAACGUAAAGUUUGUCCAGAGAGCUUUCCUUUGCUUCCAAAGGUAACCAAUCAGUUUUUAUGGUCAAGUAGUCAGACGGUAUGAAGUGCCAUUACGUGAGGGUGUUUGCAUGAAUUUUAGGUCAGUCCCUUAUGAAUCUAUUUUGCUAAAGACUUAUUUCAUCACACAAUCACAUGCUUCUCUAUUUCUUCAGCAUGCUUGCAAGUAAGAGAAUGGAUAACAUUCUUGGAGUCACCAAUCCAUUUUUAUCGUUCAGUGUGAAUCAAAGCUCUUUUACUGCAUUCAUACUCUACUUCCAAUAUUGAAUUGCUAAUUUCCUCAAAAGUGUGUUUCUUUGUUUGUUGUUGUUGUUUAAUCUUAUCAAUGUGUUUUCUGACUGUUUCAGGGCCUCUUUUCUCUCCCAAAAGUGAAAAAAAGGAAGUGUUACUCAGGUUUACAUCCUGGAAACUGAUGUGCAGAGAGAUGAAGCUAAAUAUAUCCAUUCAUUUUAGGAAAACCUGAGACAUACAGGUCCUGAUUUCUUUUCCAAGCACUGUGAUUUAGCUUGAUCUAUGUGAUGUAGGAUAGUUGCAAUCAUAUGUGACCAGAAGUUACAUAAUUCAAAAAUCAGCAUUCAAGUCAGGCAUCCAGAAAAUGAGUUAAACAGAAGCUACAAGCUACGUAAAAUUGGCUUACCUGAUAUUCCAAAGGGCUACAGUUUUUAGUGGGACUAUAUAAGGAAGGCUUACUAACCUACUAUCUUGUCAAAUGUGACCUAAACAAUUUUUUCUGCACUCUCUGAGAUAGCCAAACUCUUUGUACUGAAAUAAAAAAAUAAUUCAGCCCACAAAAUAAUGUAUUAAACAAUUCAAACAUUUGCAACUUGUCAAGGUCAGAAGCAAAGGAUAAUAGACUUACACAGGAGGUUGCACUGAGCAAAUAUUAAGAUCAGCAGAUUAUAUUGUGAGUGUGAAAGAGGUUGCUGCUGCCUACAAACAGGAUUUUCCCUGUCUUCAGACAAGAUGGAGACAACCAACAACU
ensembl:lncRNA